rnacentral:piRNA from 1 species
UGACCAUCGAGAGAAGUUUUUAAUGGCC